rnacentral:tRNA from 1 species
UGGAUAUUAGUUAAUUAAUAACAUUUAAAUUGCAUUUAAAAAUUAAUAAAAAAAUAUUAUAUCUAA